UACGAAGGGGGGCUAGCGUUGCUCGGAAUCACUGGGCGUAAAGCGCACGUAGGCGGAUUGUUAAGUGAGGGGUGAAAUCCUGGAGCUCAACUCCAGAACUGCCUUUCAUACUGGCAAUCUAGAGUCCGGAAGAGGUAAGUGGAACUCCUAGUGUAGAGGUGGAAUUCGUAGAUAUUAGGAAGAACACCAGUGGCGAAGGCGGCUUACUGGUCCGGUACUGACGCUGAGGAGCGAAAGCGUGGGGAGCGAACAGG
rnacentral:rRNA from 1 species